AAAGGAUCACACUCAAAAUGGACAAAGGAGCACUUUUACCAAAUUAAGAUCAUUCAUUCAUUUUGGGAGAUGGAAUGUACAUUCCAUUAAUCCUCUAAAUCCAAUGAUAUUAACUUAACAAAGUCAAAUCAACCUUGACCAAGGCCCAACAACACAAGUCAAACUUCCAUUGUCAAUCAAAAUGGCUCUACACAAUUUAUUUGGCAUUUAUUCAAUUAAAAAUACUAAAAAUAAUACAUUAAAUUAAAUAUGGUUGAUCAAAU
rnacentral:lncRNA from 1 species